GGGCCUGUGAGCCAUGGCCGCUGAGCCUGCGCUCCGCAACGGGAGAAGCCACAACAGUGAGAGGCCCGCGUAACACAAAAAAUAAUAAUAAUACAACAAAAUCCAUUAGUCCAGUGGUUUUUAUUCUCAAAAGCACUAUUCCAACAAUCUUUUGUCUCAAAAGUUUCUCAUCAACUACUAUUAUGCCUCAUGGACUAUUUUUUCAAAAAUUGUUUUGGCCUUUUCAAAGGACCAGUUUUUGGCUUUGUUGAGUCUCUUGUGCGUUUUUCUUUUUUUUUUUUUUUUGUGGUGCACGGGC